rnacentral:lncRNA from 1 species
AUGUCCCUUCCCUGCUUUCUCUUCAUUCUCUCAAGGCUCACUCAAGACCUGGCUCAUCUGUCAUCUCCUCCAAGUUUUCCCACCCCUUCCAUACACACAAAAAAAGAUGGUGAAGACAUCGGGUGCAGAGUGAAUCAUCAGGAUGAGAACAGCUGCAGAAUCCAGCAAGCCCAGCCUGUUGGCCAGGACCCACAGGACGACGGUGGAGGAUUCAUAAUCUCUCCGCUCUUCAGGUCUGUCUGUGACUUCAGCCAGAGCCAGGCCAAUUUACAGUGAUUCCCAGAGCCCAGUGCAAUUUGCAGAUAAAACAGAAGAUGCACAUUUGUGGCCAAAGUGGAAGAUUCAAGUAUUAGCCUGGCUGCUAAAAUGCUCCCCUGUGCGUGAGACCAGCACACAGCCGGAUGGUCUCCUCAGCGCUGCCCAGACCAUCAUUUUAUUGCCAUGGUCUGGAGGCCAAGUGAAUACUACAAACCAGGCAUUUGGAAGGGAUCUGGGAGUGGGGCAGGUUAAUGCUUCUGCUCCAGGAAGAGGGGGGGUGCCACCCAACUUCUUGCCCCUUCCUGCCCCACACAGCGUCUCGCAAAUCACUUUGACCCACGUGACUUGGCUGUAAAUGAGGCUGACCAGCUGUUGGGAAGAAGCUUAGCACUCAAGGGAGAAAAGGAAAAUAAUAUAAUUUCACAACAUCUCCCCUGAAAGGUAACACAUUUAUGGAGGAAACAUGUAUUGUGGGCCCAGCAUUCA